ACUCAUUUUGGAGGAAGAGGUCGCGGCAAUGUGGAGACUAGGCGGACUCAAGUUGUUGUCGACUUGCCUCUAUACGCCAGCCAACACCCUACCCUAUCAAAUCGAUCAAAUCGAGAAAUUUGAGAGGAUACUUGAAAUCUUGUUAAGUCACACGCAUGCCCUCAUAGCAAGGCUUAAUAUCAGAGGAACCGCCGGUAAUGAUGUAUAGUGAUCUUGGUAUGCAAGUAUGAUCAGGACCAUUUGGUGGCCUGCGCCCACUUGUUCUUUGCUUCUUAGUGAUGCUCCUGGUGUAUUCUUAUUGGAGGAAAGGACACUACUUCAUAUUUAUUGGGUUAUUGAAUGU